rnacentral:lncRNA from 1 species
CUUUCUUGUAUAAUAGGGAUCUGUUUGAAGUUUUCAGUCCAUUGAUGGAGUGAAGGGAACUUCUCUGGAUCAAGUAACUUCAUAAUUCCUAAUUCCUCCAUGGCGUUGAGCCAAAGAGUUUUCCAACCCAUCACGAGAUCCAGGUAGCCUAUCUGCUCCCCACCGAAAAACUUCUUCCCUCGGAUCUGCUUCUCGAUAAAUGCAUACUGUUCCUGUACUGACUCUAUAGCUUUUUCUUUUGCCUCUCCUUCAGCUGCCAUUGCUUGCCAUGAUCCUAUGACACACUGAAGGUGAAAACUAACAAUCAGAAAGCUAUCAUUUGCUAUUCUUGUCUUUGAUAUUUUAUCUGAUGAAUUAACUUGAAUAGCAUGAUUUCUUAACCGUUAAGUUGUUCUGUAUAUACAAGGUGGAUGUAGAGUACCUUACCGGGUUUAUCUGAACCUUGUAUUUUCGAUGCGCCGCUUAAACUCGUGUAAAAUCCAAGAAAAUUACAUCAAAAGGUAGAUAUGAGCCCAUAACUUUAAACAUUCAAUGUUUAAAACCUUAAAGAUUGAAUGCAUAAAGCUUAAAUUCUGGGUCUGCCCUAUAUGAUGAUUGCAACUGACUGGAGCAUGUUUAUGGAAUCAUGAUUUAAGCUAUUUGAAUUAUACUAAUCUUGUGAGUAAAAAAACUGUCCCACCUUGAUGGACAGAGUUACCUCGGUACCUUAUGCUGUCAGGAGGUGGCAGGUGUUCGGUGGAAUUAGUAGAGGUGCACAAAAGCUGGCAGGGACACCAUGGUUAUUAAAACACACACACACACAAAAACUGUUUACCUGAUAGACGGAUCAAAUUGGAUCUAGAUGUUCAUCCUCUUUUUCAUGGAAAUGGAAAGCAAAUCAGCCUUAGCAGUGGUAUCGGUACAUACAUAUAUGCUAUCUUUUGUAUGCAUUUACUUUGGAGCAUGUCAAGAAAGAAAAAGAAAUCGUGACAAAUGGGAAGGCUAUAAAAGAAAAGAACUACCUUCUCAUCAACAAAUUUUGCCCAGAAACGAGCUGUUGCUCUUUCAUAUGGAUCUUGAGGCAACAAAGAGUAUCCUUUCCACGUUUCAUCGAUGUAUUCAAGAAUCACAAGUGAUUCAGCAACGGGUUUGUCAUCGUGUAGUAGCACGGGUAUCUUCUUGUGAACAGGGUUGGACCUGAGGAGCAACUCACUCUUGUUCAGUAAAUCUUCUUGUAUAUAUUCAUAGGUAACCCCUUUGAGCUUCAAAGCCCAUUCCACUCUGGUGUAAAAUAGGCUUGCUGAUGACCCUAUCACCUUCACUUCUCUCAUUUUCCCAGUGGAAAUUCUAUAGAAUUGGCUUACUGAUAUGCAAUUUGUUUGAAGAUUCUGCUCUUUCUGUCCAGUUUUCAUGCAUUAAUAUAGGGU